UUCGUCCAAUUUAUCGAGGGCAAAAGUCAGUGUCGUCAUCUCCUGGACCCAUGGCAAGAGAUGUGGACAGCCUGGCUCUGUGCAUGCAGGCACUUCUUUGUGACCACAUGUUUUCUUUGGACCCCACUGUUCCACCAUUACCUUUUAACAUGGAGAUAUACAGAAGCUCCAGACCUCUAAGGAUUGGUUAUUUUGAAAGCGAUGGCUACACGCAUCCAUCUCCAAGCAUGGCCCGAAGCGUCAGAGAGGUCAAAGCUCUGCUAGAGCAAGCAGGGCACACAGUAAGACGUCACCACACAUACUAGGAUCACUGUCAAGCGACGUAUGGGAUUCAGGGCUGUGCGAUAUCACCAAAAUCUCAUAUCCCAAUAUAGGACAUUUUUCAUCCCGAUAACGAUAGAUAUCACAAAAUAGGGCAUUUUCUGUAAAUUCUGUAAAUUUCGGGCAACUCGACUUGCGUGAAGUAUUUUCAGCUGGGCGUUGUGUACCUGGAGUCGAGCACUUUGACCGAAGCAUGAAGCUAUACAUUUUUAAACAUAAGUUGUAACAGGGGCUCCAAAUUCUAUUU